UUAGAUAAACACAUUUAGGUCUGUGACAAAGUUCUUGCAGAAGUUUCCUAGUUUUCCGUUACUACAAGAAAUAUCUGACUUUAUAUAUUUGAUUGCAGACUAAUCAAAGUCGUCAGCUGUGAUUAUUUAGAAGAAACUUCCAACAAAAAUCAUGGUAUUGUUUCUAUAAAGUUACACUCAAUUUCGGUCAUAUUAGUCGGCUUAAUCACAGUGAUUACGGUCCUUAACCC
rnacentral:lncRNA from 1 species